UGCAUGUCCCAGAAGGAUAUCCUUGAGCUUUUUCCAGUCAUCUUGCCUCUGACUGCUACUCCAAAAGCAACAAAUGUCUAGUAAGCAUCCAAGUGCCCUGCAAACCAAUGAACCUUAUUUUCAACUUGAAUCUGGAGCAACUGUAGUGAAUAAAUCAGUUUUUCUGCAUUUGAUCUGCUUUUCCUUCCUUCUGUCUUUGCUUUCACCACACAUGGGAGAUAACUUGACUAUCCCAUCACCUGUGUUCACUCCAGGGGCUUGCCAUGGUGUUUCUGCAGCCCUUUCUAUUGCAUGUUCCUUGACACUGGAACAAAGUAUGUGAGUUAUCUGGCGCUGCAAUCUCUAUUGGGCUUUAGGGAAAAUACCUUUCUAAGGAAAUAAAUUCCAUGGUUGGCACAAGUGUGCCUCUACUAUGCAUUCUUUUUUUUUUUUUUUUUUUUCAUCAGUGAAGGUGUAAGCAGGUGUACAUAAAAGUAUGACUUUGAUAGCUUCGUAUUGUCAGGGACACAAAGUGGUGUUUUUGCCUGCUGUCCCCUCUGCUCUGAACUGCCAGCAGCACUAGAGGGGAAUGCAGGGAGACGGACCUUCGUACUUCGUGAGAACUGUAAUAUCUGAAAACCUGAAGACUCCUUAAAACUAGGGAGAUGGAUUUCUGUCUUUGAUGAGAGAGAGCACAGUAUGCAAAAGGACGUACAUUUGCACAAAAGAAAAUUAUUUUGAAUACUUUUGGAAUAGAAGGACUUCCACAAAUAAAAGCAAGUAGUCAGUGCCCCUUCUGCCUUUGUUAUUGAGCAAAAGGAACAAAUUCUCCGAGACUGGCUAGAAAGAGAAGAACAUCAUCAUGGAACUGUAGCAAUGAAGCAGUUUCUAAAUAUUUGGUGUAAUAUCUUUCCAAUAAAAGACAUUUCAGAAUUUACAUUUGAGAUAGUAGCUUCUAUGUGUAAACUCUAAAUCUACACAGAGACAAAUCAAAAAUUUUGAUUACUCCAGUCUUUUAAUCUUACUGUAUAAAACAGCAGUAACCUCCUGAGUCCAUGGAGAAUCAUAGUCUGUUCUGCCUGAGAAGUCCUUUGAUGACAGAAAGCUUCACGGGGUACAAGGUUUGAUUGUGUCCACUGUGGUCUACGGCAUGCAUCUGGUUUAUGACUGAAGUCCUCUUCUCUAGGGACUUUAACCACGAUUUCCUAAUGGUGAGUGCUCCCAUACUCCAAGGCAUGGCAUCAACACCUGGAUUUGCAGACAGGUGCCUAAAACUGAAGUCAAACACUAAGGUGCCUGUG
rnacentral:lncRNA from 1 species